UUUCCCAAACUUGCUUCGAAGGAAAAAGCCCUAACGAUGGAGGACAGUGAAUUCCUAGCUUAUGUGUUUGGAUGCUUAAAGAAGAUUAUUUGAAGACGGCUUUUGGAAUCAAUUAGCAUGGACCCCAGCAGUGACUACCAUUUCCUCAGCCAGAUUUUGUGGAAGAGAGUGAAACUCACAUUGGUCUGUGGCGUCUUCGAGGGUGUGCUUCAGCAUGUUGACCCUAAUAAGAUUGUUGUCCUGAAGAAAGUGAAGAAUGUGGAGACAGGUCGAAGUGUCCCAGGAGUGAAGUUGUUUUUUGGGCAUGAGAUUGUGAAUGGCCUGCUGGUGCUUAUCACUACGGACUUAGACAAGCGGGCAUUUAGGAAUGUGAACAGGAAGGGAUUGUUUUGCUAAGCAAGCUACUUAAAAUUCACAGUCCAUUCACAAUUCCUCAUCCAAAACCUUGGGGCCAAAUGUCUCAGAAUCAAGAAUUGUUCUGGAAUUUUGGAAAAUUGGAACUACUAGAUGAAGUGGAACAAGGCUCAAUGAGAGCAAAAACAUCUUCUGUUAGUCUACAUGCAGAAAGAACCCGGAUGGAGAAAAUGAAAGUUGAAGACCU
rnacentral:sRNA from 1 species